GCCGGGCGCGGUGGCGCGUGCCUCUAGUCCCGGCCAGUCGGGAGGCUGAGGCUGGAGGAUUGCUCGAGUCCAGGAGUUCUGGGCUGUAGUGCGCUAUGCCGAUCGGGUGUCUGCACUAAGUUUGGCAUCAACAUGGUGACCUCCUGGGAGCGGGGGACCAUGAGGUUGCCUAAGGAGGGGUGAACUGGUCCAGGUUGGAAACUGAGCAGGUCAAAACUACCGUGCCAAUCACUAGUGGGAUCGCGCCUGUGAAUAGCCACUGCACUCCAGCCUGGGCAACAUAGCGAGACCCCAUCUCU
rnacentral:SRP_RNA from 1 species